UAACUUAGUGGCGAACGGGUGAGUAACACGUGAGGAACCUGCCCUGGAGUGGGGGACAACAGUUGGAAACGACUGCUAAUACCGCAUAAGCCCACAGCACCGCAUGGUGCAGAGGGAAAAGGAGCAAUUCGCUUCAGGAUGGCCUCGCGUCCAAUUAGGUAGAUGGUGAGGUAACGGCCCACCAUGCCGACGAUUGGUAGCCGGACUGAGAGGUUGAACGGCCACAUUGGGACUGAGACACGGCCCAGACUCCUACGGGAGGCAGCAGUGGGGAAUAUUGCACAAUGGGGGAAACCCUGAUGCAGCGACGCCGCGUGGAGGAAGAAGGUUUUCGGAUUGUAAACUCCUGUCUUCGGGGACGAUAAUGACGGUACCCGAGGAGGAAGCCACGGCUAACUACGUGCCAGCAGCCGCGGUAAAACGUAGGUGGCAAGCGUUGUCCGGAAUUACUGGGUGUAAAGGGAGCGCAGGCGGGUCGGCAAGUUGGAGGUGAAAGCUGUGGGCUCAACUCACAAACUGCCUUCAAAACUGCCGGUCUUGAGUGGUGUAGAGGUAGGCGGAAUUCCCGGUGUAGCGGUGGAAUGCGUAGAUAUCGGGAGGAACACCAGUGGCGAAGGCGGCCUACUGGGCACUAACUGACGCUGAGGCUCGAAAGCAUGGGUAGCAAACAGGAUUAGAUACCCUGGUAGUCCAUGCCGUAAACGAUGAUUACUAGGUGUGGGAGGAUUGACCCCUUCCGUGCCGCAGUUAACACAAUAAGUAAUCCACCUGGGGAGUACGACCGCAAGGUUGAAACUCAAAGGAAUUGACGGGGGCCCGCACAAGCGGUGGAGCAUGUGGUUUAAUUCGAAGCAACGCGAAGAACCUUACCAAGGCUUGACAUCCCUCUGACGUAUGCAGAGAUGUAUAUUUUCUUCGGAACAGAGGAGACAGGUGGUGCAUGGUUGUCGUCAGCUCGUGUCGUGAGAUGUUGGGUUAAGUCCCGCAACGAGCGCAACCCUUAUCUUUAGUAGCCAGCAUAAAGAUGGGCACUCUAAAGAGACUGCCGUGGAUAACACGGAGGAAGGUGGGGAUGACGUCAAAUCAUCAUGCCCCUUAUGUCUUGGGCAACACACGUGCUACAAUGGACGGAACAAAGUGAGGCAAAGCCGCGAGGUGGAGCGAAGCACAAAAACCCGUUCUCAGUUCGGAUUGUAGUCUGCAACUCGACUACAUGAAGCUGGAAUCGCUAGUAAUCGCGAAUCAGAAUGUCGCGGUGAAUACGUUCCCGGGCCUUGCACUCACCGCCCGUCA
rnacentral:rRNA from 1 species